ACGAAGGGUGCUAGCGUUGUUCGGAAUCACUGGGCGUAAAGCGCGCGUAUGCGGCCUAUCAAGUCAGGGGUGAAAUGCCGGAGCUUAACUUCGGAACUGCCUUUGGAACUGAUGGGCUGGAAGAUGAGAGGGGAUAGCGGAAUUUCUGGUGUAGAGGUGAAAUUCGUAGAUACCAGAAGGAACACCGGUGGCGAAGGCGGCUAUCUGGCUCAUUCUUGACGCACUGGCGCGAAAGCGUGGGGAUCAAACAGGA
rnacentral:rRNA from 1 species